rnacentral:rRNA from 1 species
AUUGAACGCUGGCGGCAGGCUUAACACAUGCAAGUCGAACGAGUGGCGGACGGGUGAGUAAUGCUUGGGAAUCUAGCUUAUGGAGGGGGAUCACUACGGGAAACUGUAGCUAAUACCGCGUACCAUAGGAUGAGCCCAAGUGGGAUUAGGUAGUUGGUGAGGUAAAGGCUCACCAAGCCGCCGAUCUCUAGCUGGUCUGAGAGGAUGACCAGCCAAACUGGGACUGAGACACGGACCAGACUCCUAAGGGAGGCAGGAGUGGGGAAGAUUGCGCAAUGGGGGCAACCUGACGGAGCCAUGCCGCGUGAAUGAAGAAGGCCUUCGGGUUGUAAAGUUCUUUCGGUAGCGAGGCGUUAACUACAGAAGAAGCACCGGCUAACUCCGUGCCAGCAGCCGCGGUAAUAC